UGGGGAAUUGUUCGCAAUGGGCGCAAGCCUGACGACGCAACGCCGCGUGGAGGAUGAAGGUCUUCGGAUUGUAAACUCCUGUUGCUCGGGACGAAAAGCUUCGACCUAACACGUCGAAGUCUGACGGUACCGAGUGAGGAAGCCCCGGCUAACUCUGUGCCAGCAGCCGCGGUAAUACAGAGGGGGCAAGCGUUGUUCGGAAUUACUGGGCGUAAAGGGCGCGUAGGCGGCCUGCUAAGUCAGACGUGAAAUCCCCAGGCUUAACCUGGGAACUGCGUCUGAUACUGGCUGGCUUGAAUUCGGGAGAGGGAUGCAGAAUUCCAGGUGUAGCGGUGAAAUGCGUAGAUAUCUGGAGGAAUACCGGUGGCGAAGGCGGCAUCCUGGACCGAGAUUGACACUGAGGAGCGAAAGCUAGGGGAGCAAA
rnacentral:rRNA from 1 species